GUGCUCAUUUUGGCAGCACAUAUACUAAAAUUGGAACAAUACAGAGAUUAGUAUGACCCCUGUGCAAGGGUGACAAAUUGAUAUAGUCCCAAUAUUUUAUUUUU
ensembl:snRNA U6 U6 spliceosomal RNA